rnacentral:antisense_RNA from 1 species
CUUGACGGAACCGAGCCACAGCGGCCGGCCGUCCCGGCCCUGCCCGUACGCCGCCAGCAGUGCCUGCGCCUC